rnacentral:tRNA from 1 species
UCCCUGGUGGCUCAGAUGGUAAAGAAUCUGCCUGCAACGCAGGAGACCCAGGUUCGAUCCCUAGGUCGGGAA